rnacentral:lncRNA from 1 species
ACGCUGCAGGGCUCAGCCCGCUGCAGCUCCGCCUACGGUCUGACCUUGCGAAGGUUCGGUGCUGAGCGCAGGCGCUGGACUCUUCGACGGAGAGUCAAAGAAACAGCGUCCUCGCCUUCCUAUGGAGGAGUCGCGGUCGUCGGGUCCGCGAGAAGGGUCUAGGCUGGUCUGGAAGAAGAUGUGUAGCUGAGGAUGACCUUCCAUCAAUUUAUGAUCCUCCUGCCUUACCUCCCAGCUGCUGAGAUGACAUCCAUGUGUACCCAUGGCUCUGUGCAUACACUGCCAGCACUGUAUGGGCUACCUCCACAGCCAUAAAAUGCUAGCACUUUAAUAAAUUUUUAGCUAAUGGAAA